CUCGUAGGUGGUUUGUCGCGUCGUCUGUGAAAUCCCCGAGCUUAACUUGGGAAUUGCAUUCGAUACUGGGAAGCUAGAGUAUGGGAGAGGAUGGUAGAAUUCCAGGUGUAGCGGUGAAAUGCGUAGAGAUCUGGAGGAAUACCGAUGGCGAAGGCAGCCAUCUGGCCUAAUACUGACGCUGAGGUACGAAAGCAUGGGGAGCAAACAGGAUUAGAUACCCCGGUA
rnacentral:rRNA from 1 species